UAAGCAGCCACAAGCUUAUCAAAAUAACCCUAUUCAAAAAAGGCCCCAUUUCAAGUCAAAUAUUCACAAUAGACCCAACUCAUUGUAUCCUGGUCCAUUAUCACAUUCUAAACGACAGCCUCAAAAAUCCCAAUCUCCUCCAAAUCCACCUGUUAGAAGAGUGAUCAGACCGUUCAAAUCUCUUUCAACUUCAAUCUUUCAUCAAAAACCUCGACUAAAGAAACAUAAUCCUAACCCACAAACUCUGCAAAAAACUAGGCUAAACAAGACACAUCCAAAUAAAUUUGUUAAAAGAAGAACUAGACAAAGGAAGCCUAAUCCAAAAGCACUUGUCCAAAAUAAACCAGGCCACACCAAAACUAAUCUACAACCACCUGGUAGAAGAAAAUGUAUACAGCCACUUGAUCCAAGAAAAUUUCUACAACCAUCUGGUCAAGGAAGACGUCCACAAUCAUCUAGUCAAAGACGACACCCAUAUCCCUUUGAUCAAAAGAUACCAAAUCCACUAAAUAAAGUACGUGGAAAAAUUAAGCCCUGUAUUAGACCACACAUUCAAAACAAACCUGGAUCACACUACUAUCAUCCACAUAUACCUCUUUCUCCAGGCAACCCACUUCCACCUCCCUUCAUUCCCAGCCUGCAACCACAGGUGCAACCAACUAGCAAGGUGGUAAGCACCAAGGCCCAAGUCUUAAACACAACCCCGUUCACUGCCAUUGCCACCACAACUCCCCACAUUAUCAGCUCCAGUGCAACCUCACCUACAACCACAAACAAAAUAUCAUCUGAUCUCAUCUCCAAAAGUACAAGUCCUCCUGACAUCACGGUUUCCAGUCCUAAAAUCCAAGUUCCAGCCACCAUUCUACCAACUUCUGCAACCAUAUCUAAUGCCCCAGCUACGCAGACUUCAACUCCCCUUGUUACAACCACUUCUCUCACUGCCACCAUGCAAGGAACCCCUUUUACUACACAAGAGAUUACCACUGUACAUGCACCUCCUGGAGUUCCAACUAUGAUUCCCAACACAACCAUGACAUUCGCAGUUACAACUCUCCUUACCACCACAUCGUCUGCCACUGCUGUGCAGAAUGCCACUGCUCCCACCAACACCUCAUCUGCAGCUGAUACAGAAGGGAUCACAGCACUCGGGAUGACCACUGAGUCAGGAUAUGAAACAACAGAAAUUCCAUACAGUGGCACUGACUAUGAUAGUAACUACAUGUUUGAAAAUAUACCUUAUUAUUAUGAAUAAUUUGAUGCCUGUAAUUCUGAAAUUACAGCAUUCACCUACACCACUCCAAAACCUGCCUCUACCCUCAACUAAAUACCACAAUUUUCUAAACCAUAUUGCCUUUUAACUCCAUGAUUAUGCCUUUUUUUCUCU
rnacentral:lncRNA from 1 species